CAGUAGCGUAUAUUAAAGUUGUUGCAGUUAAAAAGCUCGUAGUUGGAUUUCUGACUGACCGCGUAUGGUCCGGCGUGCUCAGCGCGCUGUGUACCGUCGUGCGUCUGUCAUCCUUCCAGGAAGUUGUGCCUACCGGCUCGUUCGGCAGGGCGCUGCGACCUGGAUCUUUUACUUUGAAAAAUUAGAGUGUUCCAAGCAAGCUUACGCUUUGAAUACAUUAGCAUGGAAUAAUAAUAUAGGACUUGUGUUCUAUUUUGUUGGUUUCUAGGACAAAAGUAAUGAUUGAUAGGGAUAGUUGGGGGUGCUAGUAUUCAGCGGCCAGAGGUGAAAUUCUUGGAUUCGCUGAAGACUAACUACUGCGAAAGCAUUCACCAAGGAUGUCUUCUUUAAUCAAGAACGAAAGUUGGGGGAUCGAAGACGAUUAGAUACCGU
rnacentral:rRNA from 1 species